AAUGUUUAUUGUCUCAGGGAAUUUAGACAUCUGUGCCCUGUGAGGAGGUUUUGAAUUUAAAAAGUAUUCAAAGGAAUGUUGUUAAUAUGUAUGUAGGUGGUUCUUGAAAUAAGCUUAGUUCACAUCCUAUUUGUUAUUUUGUUUGAUUUGAGGUAGUGUAUUUAACUCUUAAUCAGUGGCUUAAAUUGAUAAAAGCAGGUUCUGACGGGACCUAUCUGUGUAGUUUAAAAAAUUAUUUUUAGCCUAUUUUUCUCUUUCAAAGGAAGUAUAAUUCUUUUUGUAUAAACCAGUGUACUGAUAUCUUAGAUUUAGUACAAUUGGAUGUACAAUUUAGUACAUUUGAAUGUAUAUUUAUUAUUACACAUAUCCGCCCUCUGCUGGUGAAAAUACGUUAUUACUGUUAAUUAAAUAGCUUUAGUAAUUAUUUCCUUGAAUUAAAUAAUACAUUUCAUAAUUUGAAGAGUGGCAUAAAAUUAAAUUUGGGGGAAAGUAACCAUAUUAUAUGAAAGGAAUAAAUUCUCUUUGGGACAGUUUUCCUAACGACUCAUUAUACUCAAAAUUCCGAAAAUGCCUGGUUUGAGAAAUAGUAAACUAAUAUACUCAUGAUUAAUUUUACAUUGUGGCUGUGUAUAUGUGUGUCUGCUUUUCUUUGUAUUUCUCUGUAUGUUCCACAUAUACUCUGUUCAUUUGUAGGAGACAUUAGCAACAAUAGUUGUUUAAUUGAUUUUGAACUUUGUUUUACUACCUACAUUUCCAGGUUUAAUAGCCAGUUUUAGCUAGGAACUUCUCUGUUGGACAAAGCAGAUUAUAUAAAGUGUUUCUAGCAUCAUGGAAAGUAUAAUUGAAGAGUAGUGUUUUAGUUUCAAAACAAUAAAGAUAAAUAACAGGCUAAAGUUUUUAUGAAAUAAUUAUUAAAUAUGUAAUGGAUUUUUUUCAUGUGUCCUUUUUACAUAGGGAGUUUCUCAAUAUAAUAAUCCAAUUACCUGAGGAAAUAUGGUUAGUAUAAUUUAAGAUUAUUAAGAUUUUAAGCUGGAUGCUGGUGGCUGGCUGACUCCUGUAAUGGUAGCUACUCAGAAAGCUGAGAUCUGAGAAUUGCAGUUAAAAGCCAGCCCAGGCUGGAAAGUCCAUGAGACUCAUCUCCAAUUAAUCAAUCACCAGAAAACUACAAGUGGAGCUGUGGCCCAAAGUGGUAGAGUGUUACUGUUGAGCAAAAGAGUUCAGGACAGCUCCCAGCCUAAUUCUAUCAUGUAAUUUUACUGUUAUAUGUACUGCCAGUUGAUUACAGUGUGGUUUCCUUAGUGUAGGGAAUUGACUGAUUCUUGUCUUUUGAUUCUGUUUUGAAGACUAAAGUUAGUUUUU